AUGUCGAGGGCUAAAUCUACAGAGGGAUUGGGGUGCCUUGAUAGCAAUAAUACUCCAGCCCUCUGCAUGAAGCCUGGGAAGAGCAAGCACAUCAGAACGAGGAUGGGGGAUGCCCCAGGUAGUCUCAAAUCUUGCUGUAAAAUUGCACUUAACCUCCAAAACCAGACUGUGGCUUGGGUCUCCCAGUGCUUUUUGCUGCUGUUUUGGCCUUCCAGGUGCCUUGUGCUUGUGAAUGCCUCCACCUGCAGCUUAUUUUUCUCACCUGGUGAGUUGAACUUGCCACAGCAUGUAAGCCCCUUGCAGAGGCUUAGGUGGUUGCUGAAGGAGGUGUGGAUGGUUGUGUGCUGGCUGGAGCAAGGAGCACCUCUUGGUGGGGCCUUUCUUCCUGUUGGGUUAGUGCACUGUGUCCCAGGCAGCAGCCAGUUUUAGUUCAAGCAGAACAACAAGAUGAAGUGGCCAGCGUUGCACUUGGGCUGCGUCAAGUACCCCUGUGAUGGAACUGAACCAUGUGUGUUUCCCAAUGCUUGAUCAGCUGUGCAGAGAAGCACUCGGACACCUGCUUGUCACAGCCUGUUGCCAUUGGCUUAUGUCUUUUGGGUUCAUCACUGGAUAUGCUGCUCUUCAGUAAUUUGUUAGUGUUUUGUUGUAAGAGCUCCGAGGAGGCAGUUGUUGUCCUGAAGGAAACAGCAAAAGGCACUAAAACUUCACUGCAUGCUGAGGAGAACUUGAAGCCAUCGUUGGAAGCAGGGGAAUACCAACAAUCUUGCAUCCUUUCCAGUAAACCAACAUUCAAUCACUCUUUGCUAGAUGUUGGGUGGACACUUUUUUUUUAGCCAAACCCACCUAAUGUUUCUUUUAAUCUGGGCGUUUCAGAUGAUCCAUUUUGCUGUGAAGGGAUUCCAGAGAUGACAAGCCUGUAAAGAAAACAUUGGAAGUACAUUAAGAAAUAAAAUUUGUACAGAUAAUUUAUGUAUAUACUGC
rnacentral:lncRNA from 1 species